AACUGGAUUUUGUUUUGUUUAUUUUUCUUUAACUUCCUUUUUUAAAAUUAUAUUUUAUGUCCUAUUAUAAGUUGUUUUGGGUCCCUUGAGUGGAAAACAUAGGGAAUAAAUUUUCCAUAUUAGGUGAGUGGAGUUUAGUAUUCCAAAGAGUGCAGGGAGAUACAAAAGAUGAAACAGGUUUUUUUCUUAAAACCCUCCCUGCAGAUUCUUUAACUGAGAGCUACAAUGGCACAGAUUUAAAAGGUGAGGUAAAUCUAUGUUCCAUAUGUGUGGAGGAUGUACUCCUUGGCUCCACAGACUGGGACGAACUGCUUCUCUGAAUUUUGGGGGAAGGAAGUGCUAUUAAAAGAACCUAAACUUUUCUUCAGUUCAUUCAUGUCCAAAAGAGAUUGAUACCAUGGAGCAUAUGUUCUUCAGGUGUCCUCUGCUUGAUAAGCCUCACAAAGACAUUUUCGACCCGACAUUGAAGCGAUUUGCUGGUAGCAAUAUCAAGCAUAAAUUAAGAUGGUUGCUAGUGAGAGUAGAUCUUAAUGAUUACAUUGUCAGUUGCCAGAUUUUGCUUAUAACUUUGUAAAUUGAAAAAAUCUGGAAAAAACGAUUAAAGGAUCUAGUGAUUCUACUUAAAUAGACGCUGAAAACUGCCAUCUUAAGUUCUUGCUAUCUCGGUUGUACUCUGCUGCUGAAAUAUAGAAAAAUUAAUGUUUUAACCAUAUUUUAUAUUGGUUAUUUAAGAUAGAUUUUAAAGUUGUUUUUUUAAUUUAAAUUGUAUUUCAAACGUUUGGUCUAAGACCACGAAUAAACUUGCUUGAUCCAUUCAUGUCCACAAGUCACUAAAAAUACCUAUAUUAUAUGGAAACCAUUUUGUAAAUUAUUUGAAAAGUUAAAUGAAGAAAGCAUUAAGGUGAAAUAAGACUGAGUGUAACUGGAUUAUACAGCCAGUAUUUAUUUGAUCAAUUUGUAUUUAACUGGUUCUGAUGGGUUUUCCGGGCUGUGUGGCCAUGGUCUGGUGGACCACAGUGUGUACAGACUUCCUUCUGUGAUACACCUCUGAAGAUGCCAGCCACAGAUGCAGGCAAAACUUUAGGAUCUAGAUCCACUAGACCACGGCCACAGCCGCCACACAGUCUGGAAAAUCCACCAGAACCAGUUGAAUCCGGCUGUGAAAGCCUUCAACAAUAAUUUGUAUUUAAUUCAUUUGUACUCUACCUUUCUUCCUGAUGACAACCCAAAGUGGCUUACUCUAUUCUUCUCUCCUCCAUUUUAUCCUCACAAUAGUCCUUUGAGAAUUAGUCUCAUACACUAAGAGAAUAUGACUGGCCCAAGGUCACCCAGGUAGCUUCGAUGGCAUGUGAGGAUUGAAACCCAGUUCUCCCAUCUACUAGUCCAACAAUGUUAAACAAUGGACCAUGGUAAUGGAAAACAGUUCCUCCUUGAUAGUCUCUCUUUUCCCUGAAGAAAUUAGCUGGAAAAGAGAAUAAUUAUUUUACGUACGAUAAACUUCACCACAAAGAAAGAGCAUGAGAUUGCUGAAUGAUUUUGAUUCCGGAACUGAUCUGCUAUAAUUUAUGGAGUGAAAAAUGUCAAAGGUUUUGCUAACCCUACAGUGGGGAAAAUGUAGACCAUAUAACAUUCAUGAAAUUGCCAGGAUUUAUAUUCUAUAUUCCUCACGAUCCUAAUGGUUACAUCUCAAUAAUUACACUGACAUUCCUGACGCUACUGUCUUGGUUCAGACAGGCAGUGAGUACAGUGGAAGUCUUCAUACAGCGCAGCAGGUAUGUGGCAUAGUGGUUAAGAGCAGGUGCAUUCUAAUCUGGAGAAACC